UUUAAGACAGCAGAAGGAUUUACAUGAUAUCAAUGGUAAAUGAGGCAAGUUCAAGCAUAGGAUAAAUUUAGAAGUUCAUACUGUCAUAACAGAAUUCAGAGCAGAUUAUAAUAUGGGAGCUUAUACAUAAUUCUUAUUAGUAUCCUGGAAUAGUCCGCAUAUCCUCACUGAUAUCUGAGAUGAUGACCAAAUUUCCUUUUCACAUUUUUCGAGUGGAUCCAAAUAUAUCAUUGGACAGAGGUCCAAACAAAUCCUUACCAGUAGUUAAGAUAACACCAAAAUGCUCAUUCCCAUUUCAAAUAGGGCCAGAAAUUUUGCUGGUAAUCUGAAUGAACCAAAUCAAUGCCCAGAUGCUUAUGUUCCAAAGGUCAUAUAAGCAUUAAAAGAUAUAUAGAAACUGUGCUCUUUGCCAGCACAAGCAAAGUUCUAAUGAACAGGUCCAAGCAAAGCAAAGUUUAGACAGCAUAGCAAAGUUUGAGCUUUUAAUUCUAGGGGCAUAUGCACAAUCUGUAGAUCUUAAUAUCCUCUUACACCCACUUCAUAGGAAAACAUCAAAGACAAUCAAAAAUUUUAAGCAAACUGGUUGUUCAACAAAUAUGUUUUUUAGAGUAGCCACCAAACAGCUCAAGACCUUAGAAAAUUUUCAGGCUUUAAGUUUUACUGCCCCUGGGCUCUCUCUCUCUCUCUCUCUUGCUCUCUCGUAUAAAACCAUAUGAUUAUAUUUUGACACAACCUUCUUCCUUUCCAGGAACUAGAAACAGAACAGGUUCUACAGCAUUUAAAGCAUAUAGAGAAGCUGAAAUCUCGCCUUGCAUCUAGAAAGAAAGAGAGAACUUCAGUCAUGCCACUAGAAACUGGUUGGAACUGAAAGUCAUUGUAACAAUACACAUACAGAUACACAUACAGAAACAGUUUGUAGCAUCACAGGGAUGGACUUGGGUUUUUCUGUGACGACUAUACACACCCUCUAACUUAUACUUUCUUUAUAAGUGCCAAAGUAGAUAAGAACCCUAAGUUCUUUGUUUUUCCUUAUUACUAUUUUCUUUUUGGAGUAACUGAUUUCUUGCCUACACCUAGUUUUUGAUCUACAGCUAUCCCACACUUCUUUUGUCUCUUGUAAAUGUUCAAGACAAGGACUUUAAUCAUUGA